rnacentral:rRNA from 1 species
CCUAGAGGGAUCCUGAGUACGGCGGGACACGAGAAACCCCGUCGGAAUCCGGCAGGACCAUCUGCCAAGGCUAAAUACUACCUAGCGACCGAUAGUGAAGCAGUACCGUGAGGGAAAGGUGAAAAGCACCGCGGAAGCGGAGUGAAAAAGAACCUGAAACCGUGUGCUUACAAGAAGUCAGAGCACUCUAUAUGUGUGAUGGCGUGCCUUUUGUAGAAUGAACCGGCGAGUUACGUUUGCAUGCGAGGUUAAGCUGAAGAGGCGGAGCCGCAGCGAAAGCGAGUCUGAAUAGGGCGCAUGAGUAUGUAGACGUAGACCCGAAACCGUGUGAUCUACCCCUGUCCAGGGUGAAGGUGAGGUAACACUCACUGGAGGCCCGAACCCACGAAUGUUGAAAAAUUCGGGGAUGAGGUGGGGGUAGCGGAGAAAUUCCAAUCGAACUCGGAGAUAGCUGGUUCUCCCCGAAAUAGCUUUAGGGCUAGCCUCGGAAGAUGAGUUGUGGAGGUAAAGCACUGAUUGGGUGCGGGGCCCGCCAAGGGUUACCAAGUCCAGUCAAACUCUGAAUGCCACAAACUUUAUUCCGGGAGUCAGACAGUGAGUGCUAAGAUCCAUUGUCAAAAGGGAAACAGCCCAGACCAUCAGCUAAGGUCCCCAAGUGUGUGUUAAGUGGGAAAGGAUGUGGAGUUGCACAGACAACCAGGAUGUUGGCUUAGAAGCAGCCACCAUUGAAAGAGUGCGUAAUAGCUCACUGGUCGAGUGACUCUGCGCCGAAAAUGUAACGGGGCUAAACACGCCACCGAAGCUAUGGCUUGCAC